CUCAGUAACACGUGGAUAAUCUGCCCUUAGGUGGAGGAUAAUCUCGGGAAACUGAGGAUAAUACUCCAUAGAUCUAGGAUGCUGGAAUGCAUCUAGAUUGAAAGCUCCGGCGCCUAAGGAUGAGUCUGCGGACUAUCAGGUUGUAGUCAGGGUAAAGACCUGACUAGCCUACGACGGAUACGGGUUGUGAGAGCAAUAACCCGGAGACGAUAUCUGAGACACGAUAUCGGGCCCUACGGGGCGCAGCAGGCGCGAAAACUUCACACUGUGCGAAAGCGCGAUGAGGGAAUCCCAAGUGUUUGCUCGUAAGAGUAAACUGUUUCUUUGUUUAAAACGCAGAGAGAGUAAGGGCUGGGUAAGACGGGUGCCAGCCGCCGCGGUAAUACCUGCAGCUCAAGUGGUGAUCAUUAUUAUUGGGCCUAAAACGUCCGUAGCCGGUUUAGUAAAUGCCUGGGUAAAUCGUGUAGCUUAACUAUACGACUUCCGGGUAGACUACUAAACUUGAGACCGGGAGAGGCUAGCGGUACUCCUGGGGUAGAGGUGAAAUUCUGUAAUCCUAGGGGGACCACCAGUGGCGAAGGCGUCUAGCUAGAACGGGUCUGACGGUGAGGGACGAAGCCCUGGGGCACAAACCGGAUUAGAUACCCGGGUAGUCCAGGGUGUAAACGCUGCUUGCUUGAUGUUAGUUGGGCUCCGAGCCCAACUAGUGUCGGAGAGAAGUUGUUAAGCAAGCUGCCUGGGAAGUACGGUCGCAAGGCUGAAACUAAAG
rnacentral:rRNA from 1 species